UCCUGCUUAGUUUACUCUUCUUUCUCUCAGAGCCCUAAUCUUCCAUGGAUUACUUCAGCUUUCUCCCUCUGGAUAUCACAUUAGACAUCUUAACCCGCUUACCAACUGAAUCGUCCCUUGAAUGCAAAUCAGUAUGCACUAAUUGGAGAUCUAUUGUAGCUCUUCCAUCAUUCUCCAGGAUACACUGUCAUCGUCAUCUGAAUCAUCCUGCUUCUGAAUCUGCUGGUAAGUUGGGCUUUCUUGCUCUCACAUCUCACGAUGAAUUAUACUAUUUUGAAUAUGAUGAGAAUCAUGAUCAAUUAACAACACUCAUUCAGCGAAUUACAAGAAUUGAUUUUAUCUCUCCGUUUAAGUAUUUUGGUUUUAGGUUUGUUGGUUCCGUUAAUGGGUUGGUUUGUCUUACCGACUUCAGCAACCAACCUGUUUGUAUUUGUAACCCUAUCACCAGAGAAUAUCUUAUUCUUCCAGAAAUUAAGAAAGACUGUGAUAUUUAUAAGUAUAGUUAUGAGAGACCAGCUUUGGUUAUGUUUCUUCAACCAAUCAAUACAAAAUUGUUAGGUUCUAUAAGUUCAAGAUCUGUUUAGAAGUCCAUAUAUACACUCUAGGCAGUGGUGAUGGAUGGAGAAACCUUAGGAAGUUCAAUUAUGGUGGAUCCGCAAGUCUAGAUUUAGAAUAUAGUGUUUUCUUUGCCAAUGAAACUCUUUAUUGGAUGGACUACGAAUUAGAAAUGAUCGGCACCUUCGAUUUGGCUGAGGAGAAAUUUGGUGGAAAUCUUUCACCGCCUUCUUUGCCACUAAACGGUGAAUGGAUUAAUUACAGAAUAGGGGUUCUGGGUGGGUUUUUGUUUUUUGCUCUUUUUGACGAAGUAGACAGAUUUCACGACCUAUGGCUAUUAAAAGAGAAGAAUCUUAAUCAUGACAAGGAAGAGGGAAAGGAAGAUCAGUCACUGGUUUGGAAGGAAGAGUUUAGGAUUAACAAAAUAAUGGACUUAUUAGCCGUUAUGAAGAGUGAUGGUGUUUUUACUUACGGUGAUAAGUAUAUCAAUCUUUACGACACAAAAACUGCAACCUCGAAACGCCUUGUGAAGUUCAAGAAUUGGAUUUCUCAAGUAUCCCCUCACAAUAACACCUUAGUUUCAUUGAAAGAUUUAGGGGAAGAAGAUACAAAAGUUAUGGUGUCGGCUAAAAUUGGGAAGAACAAAAGCCGUGAGCAGCCACAGGAGGAUGCAGACCCUGAAUAUAUAUACCUGUAAACUGGUAACUUUUGUCGGGUUUGAAUUUAAAUUUACAUUUUUGUGAACCUAAAUGCCGACAUUGUCUUAGUAAUAUAUUGAGACUAAUGAGGUACCGAUUUCUUGCAUUUCAGAUAUAUUUUCAUUUAUGGUUCAUUAGCUAGUCUUUCUUCGAUUUAUUUUGGAGGAAAUCAUCCCUUGUAAUUCUUUGAGAGAAUUUAAGUGGAAGCAAUUGUUUUUCAGUGUUGAUUUCCUGGAAUUUCUUUCGUGUUUUUGUGUGAGGCCAGGAGGCAGAGACCAAACUCGAUUCUAUUCUGAAAUUCUGUGGAGAAGGACAGGACUAACUAAGAGUUGGUAAGAGGAAUUAACAUUUUGAGGACGACGGAAUUAAAGACAUAUGGCUAUUAAAAAAGACGAAUCAUAAUCAUGAAAAGAAAGAGGGGGCCGGAUAAACAUCGGUCGUUGGAUUGGAGUAAAGAGUUUAGGAUCGAUGGUAUGAAGUCAAUGGACUUGUUAGCCGUUACGAAGAGAGGUGGCAUUUUAAGUAACAGUGGUCACCUAGAUAUCAACAUUUAUGACAUAAGAACUUCAACCUCGAAACGCCUUGUGAGGUUUAACGGUUACAUGCUUGAUGUAAUCCCUCACAAGAACUGAUUUUCGGUAAAAUUUCCGGCUCAUAAUACCAUGCUUGAUGUAAUCCCUCGAAACGCCUCAUAAUAUAUGGGACUUGAAUGUAUUUGUAAACUUCAACCAGGAUCCCCAUUAUUAUAUGAUCAAACGCUGGCAUGCUUCGUGAUGAUGAUACGAGCUGGAAAGAGGUCGUGUCAUUUGGAUUUAACUUCAAGAAAAGCAGAAGAAUCAGGCGAGGAGCAGAGACCAAACUCGAUUCCAUUCUGGUAUUCUGUGGAGAGGGACAGAACUAACUAUGAGUUGAUGAGAGAAAUUAACAUUUUAAUUUGUUCUACAAGCCAGCUGGAUGGUUAAGAGAGAUGGUUGGAGCCAAAGAUUUACUAGCAGAGCCAGCUGAAGAGGAAUUUAGGUUUGGAUUACGAAGUGGGUUGAUUCGUCGCAUUGCUCUUAACAAGGUUCAACCUGGUGCUGUUCCAAAGGUGGUGGAAUGUGCAUGUGGUUCUGGUUAAAAAAUGUCGAGGAUUCUCUUGUAGCUAUGCAAAAAGCAAAAUUUGAUGCAUCUGAUCUUGAACGGGGGAAGUUGACUGAGAUGGUAGUAUGUUGGCUUCUAGGAAACGGAUGUCUAUUCUCCUACAUUUUUUUGAGAAACUUGUCUAUGCACGUCUUUCCGAAGUUGCCUAUUGUUAAGUGCUGCCGUGCCACAGCAGACUCGGGAAGUACAGUCUCGCAACCUCUUUCUUUCUCGUGUUUUUAGCUUUGGAUAUAUUUGGGGGAAUUUGAUGAGCAUAAAUUUCAACUAAGCUUUGCAACUUUUGCAGGCUGCGCAAGAGAACAGAUCAGUGGGGGUAGGCCGGUGGCUACGCUGCCAGGGGGCGGACGGGCCUAUGCCUAGUUUCAAAAAAAAAAAAAAAAAAAAAA